rnacentral:rRNA from 1 species
GACGAACGCUGGCGGCGUGCCUAAUACAUGCAAGUAGAACGCUGAAGGAGGAGCUUGCUUCUCUGGAUGAGUUGCGAACGGGUGAGUAACGCGUAGGUAACCUGCCUGGUAGCGGGGGAUAACUAUUGGAAACGAUAGCUAAUACCGCAUAAGAGUAGAUGUUGCAUGACAUUUGCUUAAAAGGUGCAAUUGCAUCACUACCAGAUGGACCUGCGUUGUAUUAGCUAGUUGGUGAGGUAACGGCUCACCAAGGCAACGAUACAUAGCCGACCUGAGAGGGUGAUCGGCCAACCUGGGACUGGGACACGGCCCAGACUCCUACGGGAGGCAGCAGUAGGGAAUCUUCGGCAAUGGACGGAAGUCUGACCGAGCAACGCCGCGUGAGUGAAGAAGGUUUUCGGAUCGUAAAGCUCUGUUGUAAGAGAAGAACGAGUGUGAGAGUGGAAAGUUCACACUGUGACGGUAUCUUACCAGAAAGGGACGGCUAACUACGUG